rnacentral:rRNA from 1 species
UACGAAGGGGGCUAGCGUUGCUCGGAAUGACUGGGCGUAAAGAGCUCGUAGGCGGCUUGGUAAGUCGGAUGUGAAACCUCCAGGCUCAACCUGGAGUCGCCAUCCGAUACUGCCAUGGCUAGAGUCCGGUAGGGGCCCACGGAAUUCCUGGUGUAGCGGUGAAAUGCGCAGAUAUCAGGAGGAACACCGAUGGCGAAGGCAGUGUCCUGGGUGGUCGCUGACGCUGAGAGGCGAAAGCCAGGGGAGCGAACGGG